UUUUUUUAUUAUUUCUCCUACGAUGUUUAGCAUCAGAGCGCCAUGUGCUUUCCCUUGGUCUGGGAGCCUAUCAGCAGACAGCUCAGGAAGACAUCCCUGAGACUCAGCCACCUGCCAACCUGAGGUGCUCUGUAAGCACUGCAAAUGCCACUAUAACGUCUCCCCGGAGCCUUCAUGUGUCCAAGUGCCAUAAGCUGGGGAGCACAAGACCAGCUGCUGAAUGGAUCCAUCUCAUAUACAGGAUAUACACUCCCAGUGAAGGACUCACUCCACCAGGAAGGGGAAAAGGUACCUCCUGGACAUACAUUUUCAGGCUCACUACUGGAGGCACCUAGGCGUGCAGCGUUGCAGAGGCCUUGCCUCUCUUGGACUUCCAGAUCCAGCAGAAUAUCUUCAGAUCCUGGCUGACUGAGGAGGAUCCCAAUCCCUCCAGACACUAAAAAUGCACCACUGCUCCCCAGCAUCCCAGAAGUCAC
ensembl:lncRNA